rnacentral:ncRNA from 2 species
CGAUAUCAGAAAUACUGUGGUGCCGGUCAUCUCUCCUGACCGGUUUAAAAGGGAAUCCGGUGAAAAUCCGGAACAGUACCCGCUGCUGUAAUCCUGUACCGGUGUUAAACCGGUGAGCUAUGUUCAUCAAAGAUGUCACUGACCCGAGCCCUCGGGUCGGGAAGGCUGAUGAAAUCAGGAAAGUCAGAAGACCUGCCCCGGUAUUAUUUCGCUU